rnacentral:rRNA from 1 species
ACGUAGGGACCAAGCGUUGUUCGGAUUUACUGGGCGUAAAGGGCGCGUAGGCGGCGUGUUAAGUCAGCUGUGAAAUCUCCGAGCUUAACUCGGAACGGUCAGCUGAUACUGAUGUGCUAGAGUGCAGAAGGGGCAAUCGGAAUUCCCGGUGUAGCGGUGAAAUGUGUAGAGAUCGGGAGGAACACCGGUGGCGAAGGCGGGUCUCUGGGCAAUUCCUGACGCUGAGGCGCGAAAGCGUGGGGAGCAAACAGGA